AAAUUGAAGAGUUUGAUCAUGGCUCAGAUUGAACGCUGGCGGCAGGCCUAACACAUGCAAGUCGAACGGUAACAGGAAGCAGCUUGCUGCUUCGCUGACGAGUGGCGGACGGGUGAGUAAUGUCUGGGAAACUGCCUGAUGGAGGGGGAUAACUACUGGAAACGGUGGCUAAUACCGCAUAACGUCGCAAGACCAAAGAGGGGGACCUUCGGGCCUCUUGCCAUCAGAUGUGCCCAGAUGGGAUUAGCUUGUUGGUGAGGUAACGGCUCACCAAGGCGACGAUCCCUAGCUGGUCUGAGAGGAUGACCAGCCACACUGGAACUGAGACACGGUCCAGACUCCUACGGGAGGCAGCAGUGGGGAAUAUUGCACAAUGGGCGCAAGCCUGAUGCAGCCAUGCCGCGUGUAUGAAGAAGGCCUUCGGGUUGUAAAGUACUUUCAGCGGGGAGGAAGGUGUUGCGGUUAAUAACCGCAGCAAUUGACGUUACCCGCAGAAGAAGCACCGGCUAACUCCGUGCCAGCAGCCGCGGUAAUACGGAGGGUGCAAGCGUUAAUCGGAAUUACUGGGCGUAAAGCGCACGCAGGCGGUCUGUCAA
rnacentral:rRNA from 1 species